UAACGCGUGAGGAACCUGCCUCAAAGAGGGGGACAACAGUUGGAAGCGACUGCUAAUACCGCAUAAGCCCACAGCUCGGCAUCGAGCAGAGGGAAAAGGAGCAAUCCGCUUUGAGAUGGCCUCGCGUCCGAUUAGCUAGUUGGUGAGGUAACGGCCCACCAAGGCGACGAUCGGUAGCCGGACUGAGAGGUUGAACGGCCACAUUGGGACUGAGACACGGCCCAG
rnacentral:rRNA from 1 species